ACGGGAGGCAGCAGUGAGGAAUAUUGGUCAAUGGACGGAAGUCUGAACCAGCCAAGUCGCGUGAAGGAUGAAGGUAUUAUGUAUUGUAAACUUCUUUAGACGCAGAGAAAUAAGAGGGUCGUGACCCUUGAUGCUAGUAUGCGUAGAAUAAGGAUCGGCUAACUCCGUGCCAGCAGCCGCGGUAAUACGGAGGAUCCGAGCGUUAUCCGGAUUUAUUGGGUUUAAAGGGAGCGCAGGCGGCCUUUUAAGCGUGUUGUGAAAUGUAGGAGCUCAACUUCUGCACUGCAGCGCGAACUGGACGGCUUGAGUACGCGGGAAGUAGGCGGAAUUCGUCGUGUAGCGGUGAAAUGCUUAGAUAUGACGAAGAACUCCGAUUGCGAAGGCAGCCUACUGUAGCGUUACUGACGCUAAAGCUCGAAAGUGUGGGUAUCGAACAGGAUUAGAUACCCUGGUA
rnacentral:rRNA from 1 species